AAACCAUACUGUGGAUACUUCCACAAGAGGUCCUUGAAUCACUCCCAUGUCUCAAAUAAGGAUUUAAGCUUCAUCUGAACAAAUAACAAUAUUUCAUUACGAAGAUU